rnacentral:rRNA from 1 species
GAUGAACGCUGGCGGCGUGCCUAAUACAUGCAAGUCGAGCGAACAGAUAAGGAGCUUGCUCCUUUGACGUUAGCGGCGGACGGGUGAGUAACACGUGGGUAACCUACCUAUAAGACUGGAAUAACUCCGGGAAACCGGGGCUAAUGCCGGAUAACAUUUAGAACCGCACGGUUCUAAAGUGAAAGAUGGUUUUGCUAUCACUUAUAGAUGGACCCGCGCCGUAUUAGCUAGUUGGUAAGGUAACGGCUUACCGAGGCAACGAUACGUAGCCGACCUGAGAGGGUGAUCGGCCACACUGGAACUGAGACACGGUCCAGACUCCUACGGGAGGCAGCAGUAGGGAAUCUUCCGCAAUGGGCGAAAGCCUGACGGAGCAACGCCGCGUGAGUGAUGAAGGUCUUCGGAUCGUAAAACUCUGUUAUUAGGGAAGAACAAAUGUGUAAGUAACUGUGCACGUCUUGACGGUACCUAAUCAGAAAGCCACGGCUAACUACGUG